rfam:Alkaliphilus oremlandii OhILAs, complete genome.
UUAAAAAUGAAUAUUUUGCCGUAGAUAGUAGGUGCCUAAGCUUAAAUAUCCUACCGAGGCUUUGAAUAAAUAAAAUCAAAGAUCUCGUUAUAUCUAUAUAUAGAAAAGAUAGGGCGAGGUCUUAUUUUAAUUAA